CUUUGGCUCUGGCCCUUUACGGUGUAUGUGCCUUGAUUCAAGAGGCAUUUACAGGUGGCAACUGAUCAACAGAGUAUAUAUAGAGCGUAUCGCUUAAAGUUAAUGGAGGGUAAGCAGACAUGUAGAAUAUGGUCAAGAUGACAUUCAUAAAAGAAAAAAUCUUUGGAAAAAGAUACCUUUCAGAAUUUAACGUUAUGCCUUAGGAGCAUGCACCAACACGCUCAAGUGUGUGCUAAAGUAGCUAAAGCAUAUGAAAGAACAGUUUGCAUGUGUGCUCAAUUUUCUCCCACCAUUUGCCAAUUGCCAUCUUUCUGAGGGUAAUCAUGACCACAUCACCAGAUUGGGCAAGUGAAGGCGCUGUUUACAUAUGAAGACAAUUUGCCAUUUGCCAGGCAACCUUGGCCAGGUAGCAUUGAUGAAUUGGGAAGGGAUCGCAGCUGCUACCAAAGGAUAAACUCAUGGCCAGGAAAUCUUGCCAUGCUUCAAGGGACAUCUACAGACACCAGUGGACAUGAACCUUCCUCAGUUGGACACUUCCUAGCCAGUUCCUUGCUAAGCAUGGUACAUCAUAAAUGCAGGCAUGCCAUCUUGAUUGAUCCUGAGCUGACGAGGUAAGAUGAGCCGACAGGUUAUGCUAAGGCAUACGACUGGGACUGCUCUUUGGGCUGACAUGCGAACAUGAUGAUUGUUCAAAUAGGAAGGCGUUGCUCGACUGAAAACUCAAGUGAUGCAGGCAACUAUUACAAAGAUGAUGUUAAACCCGAGUGGUGAAAAUGCCAAUUUUUGCACCAACGACCCUCUCUUGGCUUUCGUGUUCUCAUUGGUGGUUUUAAUAUCUCCAUCAGGUGGUGCAAAUGUUGCUGAUGGUGGCAAAUACCUGAGACAAGAAGUAAAUUGUCGCACAUAAAUCUUGAGAUUCUAAAGCAAGUAAGUACUACUCCCUCUGUAAACUAAUAUAAGAGCGUUUAGAUUACUAAAGUAGUGUUCUAAAUGCUUUUAUAUUAGUUUACAGGGGGAGUACUUAUCAAAUGAUAUGAAAUGAAACAUUGAUUAAUGAAGUGUCAUGCAGUCAUGAACUUACAUCA